UAAGGGCGCACGGUGGAUGCCUUGGCACUAGAAGCCGAUGAAGGACGUUACUAACGACGAUAUGCUUUGGGGAGCUGUAAGUAAGCUUUGAUCCAGAGAUUUCCGAAUGGGGAAACCCAGCAUGAGUUAUGUCAUGUUAUCGAUAUGUGAAUACAUAGCAUAUCAGAAGGCACACCCGGAGAACUGAAACAUCUUAGUACCCGGAGGAAGAGAAAGAAAAUUCGAUUCCCUUAGUAGCGGCGAGCGAAACGGGAAGAGCCCAAACCAACAAGCUUGCUUGUUGGGGUUGUAGGACACUCUAUACGGAGUUACAAAGGACGACAUUAGACGAAUCAUCUGGAAAGAUGAAUCAAAGAAGGUAAUAAUCCUGUAGUCGAAAAUGUUGUCUCUCUUGAGUGGAUCCUGAGUACGACGGAGCACGUGAAAUUCCGUCGGAAUCUGGGAGGACCAUCUCCUAAGGCUAAAUACUCUCUAGUGACCGAUAGUGAACCAGUACCGUGAGGGAAAGGUGAAAAGCACCCCGGAAGGGGAGUGAAAUAGAACCUGAAACCGUGUGCUUACAAGUAGUCA
rnacentral:rRNA from 1 species